rnacentral:snoRNA from 1 species
UUAUAUGAUGAUAAUUCACAUUUGUUAUUCUGGUACCUCUUAUGUUAGAGUCCUCGGGCUCGAUGAAUGAUACGGACUUCUGAUA